AUGCGGUGCCGGAAGAAGGCCACCACCUUGGCUACCAUCGCCAGCCUCCCCGACGAUAUACUAGCCAACAUCCACGGCCGCCUCAGCCUCCUCGACCGUCUCGCCUCCGCCGCCGUCUUCCGCGCCUCGUCCGCCCCACUCAAGCCGGAGACGCCGUGGCUCCUCCUCCGCGGCCGCACCCCGGAGACCGCCACGCUCUUCUCCAUCUCAGACCGCUGCAGCAUCACCGUGAGCGCCCCCGAACCCGCUCUGCGUGGCCACGUCGUCCUUGGCUCCUCCUCCGACGGCUGGCUCGUCACCGCUGAUGACCGGGCCAAGAUGCGCAUUAUCAACCCGGUCACUGGCGAGCAGCGCGUGCUCCCAGCCAUCACCACCAUUCCCUGCCUCUUUGAGCAGCAUGGACACUUCGUGCUCGACCUGAAGCGCUUCGGUAGAGCCCCACUGCACCCCGUCUACGACAACUACCUGUCUGACUGGACGCAUAUGAUCACUGUCCAGAGCAUGUGUGCCAAGAACAUGCGCUCCUUCUGCCGCAAGGUCGUCCUCUCCAACUCCCCGCCAUGCCCUGCUGCCAUGAUGAUCACAGGCACCCAGUUUGGCUUUGUGGCCUUUGCCACGGCAAAGGGCGGCACAUGGCGGCUGGCGCGUGAUGGUGUUGACCUCGCCAAGACGGUGUGCGGGACGACGCCUUCGCCCGACGGCGUCGAGGAUGCCAUCCACUAUGAGGGCAGGUUCUACUCGAUCACAUACUCCGGCCAAGUGGAGGCAUGGGAACACGACGCCGAUGAUGUCGGGGUGUUCACGAGCGUGGUGGUCGCCCCAAGGCUGCUGCUGCCGGCCGAUUUGGACCACCGCAAGUACCUCGUGGGGGCGCCGGGCGGGCGGCUGAUGGUGGUGGUCAGGGAGGCCACACACGGUUAUCAGGAGUUGCCGUCCUUCAAGGUGCAGGUCCUCGACGCCGGUGGUGAGGAGUGGAGGGAGACAGAUGACAUUGGCGAUGCCACGCUGUUCGUCGGUGGGAAGAGCUCGCUCUGCGUGACGACGAGGGAGCACCCAGAGCUCAAGGCCGGAUGUAUCUACUACGCCAACGAAGGGUAUGUUGACGAAUACGACGGGAGCGCCAACCAUGUCAAGGUGUUCAGCCUCAAGGACGGCACUGCAGAGAAGGUCGAGGGCCUCAGGCGGCGCCAGACCAACCCGCGGCCGGCGUGGUUCACGCCUUGCAUCCCAUGA
rnacentral:rRNA from 1 species